rnacentral:rRNA from 1 species
UAGGGAAUCUUCGGCAAUGGGGGGAACCCUGACCGAGCAACGCCGCGUGAGUGAAGAAGGUUUUCGGAUCGUAAAGCUCUGUUGUUAAGGAAGAACGAGUGUGAGAAUGGAAAGUUCAUACUGUGACGGUACUUAACCAGAAAGGGACGGCUAACUACGUGCCAGCAGCCGCGGUAAUACGUAGGUCCCGAGCGUUGUCCGGAUUUAUUGGGCGUAAAGCGAGCGCAGGCGGUCAAUUAAGUCUGAUGUGAAAGCCCCCGGCUCAACCGGGGAGGGUCAUUGGAAACUGGUUGACUAGAGUGCAGAAGAGGAGAGUGGAAUUCCAUGUGUAGCGGUGAAAUGCGUAGAUAUAUGGAGGAACACCGGUGGCGAAAGCGGCUCUCUGGUCUGUAACUGACGCUGAGGCUCGAAAGCGUGGGGAGCGAACAGG